UUAUUAUGUUUGAUUUUAGAACACCAUGGAUGAACCCAGGCCUAUUCAACCCCGCAAGAUUUGUCUGUGACAACUGUCCAAUAAACAAGGACCUAACUGAAAAAAGUAAUGAUCUUCAGACUUGGCAAAAGAAGGUUGGGUGUUAUGGAGAGCUAAGGAGCAGCCCCUGAAGACACCCUAGAUGAGAAACACUGUGCCUCUCAUGUUAGAACAGGGCAGGAAGAUGCUGAUGGCAUCCAGAUUUUGGAAAAUUGGUAAAAACAGUACAUGUAAAAAUGGAAGAUGACUGAUGGUAUUUGCUUCAGGAAACCAAACAUCCCUUAUCCACUAUUUUGAGAACACAGUGAACACCUUGAACAUUUACUCAUUUUGGGCUAUUGUCUGUGGAAAUACUGUUCCAGGGUUUUUUUCUCUGCCUGUGGUGGACUGGACUGGCACUGAUACAGUCUUGAUGCUUGGACUGAUCGUCAAUGGUGCUGCAUUGUGGAGUGAUAUUACCUCUGAUGGAAAUGCAGAUAAGACAAUGUUUCAUUUAUAACCUACUACUAAACGGGAAAUCUGUGCAUUCUAAAUUAUUAGAUAUAUGGACAUAUUAAUGCACCUUUUCUUGUAACCUGCAUCCAGAGCCAUCAAGACACGUAAAAAGAUUUGUUCAUUUCCAUAAAGUACUUCAUAGGACAGAAUGUCAGCCUGAGUGUUAUUAGAGGCUUCUUUCUUGGAUUCAGCCCGUUCAUCCUCGUUCUCCCUGAUAAGCUGACAGAUGUACUGUUGUGCCCCGGGGACAUCACAAUAUAUGGUGUGAACCUACCAUGGAUCAAAAAUUAGAUCAUAUUUCCUGUAAAGCUGGCACAUCUCUUUGCAAUUCAUGUAGUUCACAUAACAACUAGAAGGAUAGAAAAACAUGUUUUUUCCAUGAAGCCAUUCUCAUGCUUCACAAAUUUAUCUUUUAAAAUAAUGCCUAUUAAGGAAUGUGCAAGUUGGUCCAAUCAGUUUUCUGUAAGCUGACUUUUAGUGGGUAUUUAUGGUUCUUUAAUUCCAUGUGUUAUUCUGAAAAUCUCACCUGUAGCCUUUAAAUCAAUAUAUACAAAAUAACUUUUAAUUUUUUAAGAAGAUAACAAUAAUAAAAUUGCACUUUUUUCCUUAUUGAAGUUUUUAGAAAUGCCAGUAAAUAAUUUUUUUUUUUGCAGUAACUGAGUUCUUACCUUCUUGACAAGAGCUUCCAAGAAUAUUAGCACUGCCAUUUGAGGUUUCAUGGCCUUGUUAUAUCUUCCACUUUGUAGGAGUUCAGUGACUUCUCUCUCUCGUUUCUGUAAAGAUUCUUGUAUCUUUUGCAGGGUGGUGUGUGCUUGCCAGAGAUAUCCUUUUUCCAUUGACCAUUCAGGCUUCUCUUCUUCAUUAGCUACCUGAGGGGCAACAAAGAUAACUCUUACAUGCUAAGCGAGGAUCAAGAUUUUCAUUCCUUUCACAUGAAAUUGCCAAGAUUUUAAUGAGCAAGACUUUUGCAGAAGAAUUUUUAUCUGGAAAUUGAUGAGGUCUUGCACUCUUUCUACAUAGAGACUGAUGUUGUGAAGCUCCUGCAAAGCUGAGUUGAAAACAAAAGGAAAAACAGCAUUUGUCCACAUUAUGGGAAUGAAAGAAGAGACAGAAGUUACAGACACUCCUGAAACAGCUUUUGGAAGAACAGUCUUAAGGCAGCUGUAAAGAAACGGUUGUAUGUAUCAAAUCUUACCAGCAUUACUUGGUCUAAUGGAAGGUAUUCCUUAUUCUUAUGAGCCUUAGAACAUUGUAUUCUCAUCACUUCUCACUCUUGAUUAUAAUAUUUUUGCUACAUUUCCUUGAUAUGCAACAGUUAGGUCAAAGGAUUUGUAAAACCCGUGAUUUUUCACAGUUUACCGAUCAGGAAUAGGGUAUUAUUGUGGUAGACAUUGUUGAAAGUGUUUGAAAAGAGAAAACCUUAAUUUUAAAUACUGGCGUUGUGCAAAGUUUAAUCGAAAGGUGGUGCUACAUCAUUUGAUAAAAAAAAAAAAAAAAUCACUCUUCUCUGAGACGUUCACUCUGAAAUCCUGCAGAAAUCUACAUUCAGUUUCAUAAAUAAAAAGGAGAAUCUGGCUUUGAGACUCCCCUCACCCCACCACAACCUUUGCUAAGAUCUCCUGAAUACAUGUCUUGGAAUAAUGCAAUGAAACUUGGCUGUUAUAAAGCAAUGUUGAAGAUUUGCAAAAUUACAGAAGAACUUGCACAUAUUACAUGGCGUAGAACACUACGCAGAAAAUAACAAUUAUAAGACCGUGCUCACAGAUGCUAUCUAUAAGAACCAACAAAUUUAUUUCUUUUUCCACCUUUUUCCACCUCCAUCUCAAAUCUUUAGUAAACUGAAGUUGCAAUAUUACAGAGAAAUCUGAAAACCUGAGGAAUUUUUCCUUUUUCCUGGGAGCUACCAAUUAAGGUAGUUUUGCUGGUAGGUCACUACAGUAUUGUAGCAGCUUAGAUGAGGUAAAGUUUUUGUAGUCUUUUAAUGCUAAUUGCUAAAUAAAAAAUAACCAAUGUGCUCUACUGUGACUUUUAAAAUUCCUCAAAAGACAUGAAAUUUGAAAUGAGAGAGAGAAAUGACAAUGUAAUAAUUUUUAGUGGAAAGAAUAAUAUAGUAUGACAAGAAAAAAUGUACAUCACCUUCAUUGGUGUUUAAAGGCCAAAAAACUACUCUGGGUACUCUGAAAAAAGUAAGGCAGGUGCAUAGCAGUUCAGUCUUAGCUGAUUUAGAUGUACAUAUCUAAAGGCAGGCAGUGUGGUUUCUAUGUCCCUUAGGCUCCUGGAAACAGCACACAGUGGAAACAGAAAUGUGAGCACAGUCUUAACUCCAAAAAAGAACACCCGAACUAGCUUUGUUUACCUUUUCUGCUUCCCAUUUCUCUGUUUGUUGCUUCAUUUGGUGAAGGAGAUCUUCUUUCUCUUGGAUCAGUUGUCCAUUUCUUUCCCUCAGGCUCUGAAGGCAGUACAAUAAGGCAAAAGGCAUUACAAUUUCUACACCAGUGCUUCAUUUUUCAGAAAUGUCUAUAUUUUGGGUUUUUUUGUUCCACACAUGUGAAGAAGUCAUAACAUUUGGACUAUGCUGCUAAGUCCUGGGGAUCUUGCACAAAAAUAAUACAAAUUUAUUAUUUUAUUUUCUUUUAAAUUUAAUUUAUAUUAUUAUUAUAAUAAAAAAAUGACAAUGACACCAUGUGACCAGAGGUGGUCUGAUUCUAAAGACCUUCCCUAAAGGCAUGAACGUGCUGAACAUUUUUCUCAGUAGCAGAACAGAAGGAGGAAUAAAUCUUAAUACGUGUUCAUCACCAGAAAAGCAUUACACAUCUUAUAUGUUCUGUGAAUAUCUUUUCACCUUCUUUUCAUAAAAUGAAAGCUAUUUCCAAGGCGUAAGCACAGACAGUAAAGGACAGCCCUAUGCUGAGUUUUCAUUAGGGGAGUGAAGAUAGGCCAAGCUGUGAAAACUGUUUUGGAAAUAUACUGUGUAAGGCUUUAUUCAUCUCCUUAAGAGACAGACAUAGUUUUGUAUUAAUUUGACAAACAGUGUGUCUUUAUUUGACUGGCUGUUCCUAAGAAGAAAACAUUACUUACACAGCCUGUUCCUUUAGCCUCUGGAAGCAUGUGCCAUUCUUACCCCCAGGUAAAAAAAUGUAGUUCUUGGUUACCUUAACUGUAUCUUGCCAGUGUAUGUUGCUCUUGUUCAUCAGCUCUCGGUAAGCUUCUAACUGGGAUUUCAGACUCCUUGUUUUCUCACCAUAAUGUUUCUUUAUAGCAGUUAUAGCCUGCUCCUGUAUUACAGAAGAUUAUUAGGAAAAUGGUGAGUGAAAACAUGAAAGCCAAGCAUGAUAAAGAGAAUAGUUUCCACAAAAAAUGCUUGGUUCUGUUUCUUCAAUGCUUUUUAUUGUCUGCAAGCACUUCUUACGGAUCACUGGAUGUUUGUAUUUUCACCCACUGCGGAUUUGGAGAAAAACUUACUGCUAAAGUAAUUUAUCUUUUCUGGCUUUCUGCAGUUGUAAAAACCAAAGCCUUUCUGAGAGCAGACCAGAAUGAAUUCACUUUAAGCAUAACUAAGUCAUUUUAAAGAAAUUAAACUUUUCUCACAAAACAAAAGCUUGGAAGUAUAAGCCAUACUAUAAAUAGCACAAAAAUUACUCUUAGCAACCGGAAACAUCUAAAUAAGGCAAUGCAAUUUCAUAAGAAAUAGAAACAAAUCAGAAACUUUAGAAAGCACAGAUAUUUACAGUGCUUGUAGGAAUAAUUUUUAUUUCAAAGAUUUUAAUUAAUAACACAUUACAGCAUCCAAAAUGAAAGAGGUUCUAUGAAGAAAGAUCAUUACAGUCGCUGUAUUUGCAUCUGUGCCCAACAGGCAAUUCUCUCUUACUAUACAUUUGUGUUCUUCCCGUUUCUCUCUUUAACUUCCCCUAGUGAUCUACAGAGUCAAUUGCAGGUGUAGGAUCUGACUGCAAGGGUUACAUUCCUACCAAAGCACGGAAAUGGAUUUACGCACAAUGCUUGUGCACAUGUGAUAACCUGAGAAUAAUAUGAAGUCUUGUGCCUUACCAAAGGAUACCAAUCCUACACUACAUAUAGGGAACUCUCUCAAGUUUGCUUGACAGUCUGAAAAGUUUGUUUACUUCCCCAUGGAGGUUCCAGAGGAAUUUCUGAGUCUUUUCUCUCUGUUCACGCAGAAUAAACUUUUAUUGUAUAGAAAACAUACAUCUGCACAGGAAAUAAGUGCCUGUCUUACUCUGGAACAGAAAAGGAGAAUGAUGUGACCAAUAAGCAGAAAGAUGAAGCAGUGACUGCAAGAAAAGGUUUCAGAACAAUGUAGCCAAAGAUGAGGAUGAAGAAAAUUAUCAACUCAGAGCACUAGCAGCUUCAGUUAUAAGGAAACAUCAAACAAUUUUGAGGUACAUUUCUCAAAAUUGACAGAUACAUUAAAGUGAAGAGUUCAGUCUUGGAAAUAGAUAAAUAGCCAACAGGACUGCUGGCCAAAGCUUUCAGGCUUCAUCAGCUAGAAAAUAUAUAGUGUUACUGAAUAAAAAUCUGCAUAUGACUUGAAAUGGAUUUUCUUUUCUAGUCCUAGUAUUUCAUCUCUACCUCUCCCUUUUUACUGUAGCGAUCCGAACUGAAUAUAGAAGACACUGUCAUUACAAUUAUUCUAAUGUUCUUGAAGAAGAAAAACAGCAUUGUGAAGUUUAUUACUGAGAUAAAAGUGAAAAAAAUAUUGUAGGCAGUGGAGAAGACUACAUUUUUGCAUUCAAGAUUUAGGUAACACAAAUUGAUUACAGAAUACACUCAAUUUUGUUUUGUAGUCCAUUAAAAUAAUUUGAAAACCUGCAAAAUUGAUAUAACUUUAAGGUCACUACAAUAAUUUUCGUGACUAAUAAAAAGAGCUGUGUACAUAAAGGACUGGCAAAGUGACCUUUUUCUUGCCUGAAAAUGAGUCAUUUAAGCUUAAAAUUGCAUCAGAAUCCUUAGUGACUCUGUUUUAUUAAAUUUGUUUCUAAUCCAAAUUAUAAUAGUCACAGCUGGAAAAUUCUACUACCUCCUAUCCCAGUUUCUGUUGUCUGCUUUCCUUUUGACAUACUUGUCUGGUAGGUGCAAUGUCAAAUUACACAACACACAUACUUGUAUGUCUUAAAUGAGGCUAACAGAUACUGCUGGAUGAAUUACAGUAAUAAUGAACAUGAUAAUAUGUAAAUUAUAAAAAUCUAGAGUUUUUCCAGAUAUUUCCUUGGUUUCUGUUCUUCGUUUAAGCUUAGUAUGAUGCAGAUUCCACUGACAGUAAGCAGCUCAGCUAAAAUAAAACUGAAAAAGAAAAGAAAUUAGAUUUUUUUGUGGUGGCUAACGAAUAAUUUUUAAACAGUUGCGGUUGUUAGCAAUGAUCUAUGAUGAUAGAGUAAAUCUUUGUGAGUAUUUACAAGCAGUUAAUUUGGGAGGAAAAAAUCUCUACCAUUUGACACUGUCACAGUUCAAAUGACAUAAAAGUGGAAAGCAGCAAUGUGGUAUUGAAAUACACUGUCCUACUUACCGCCCAUCAAAAACACUACUGUAGAAGUGAGGAAUUUUAAAAUACACAAUUAAAAGGUUAAGACACAAAAAAAGCCUCUUCUAUGAAAAGACAGAAAAGAUCCAGGUGGGUUUAUCCCUUUUAUCACCCACAGAGCUCUGAGUGGUCAUAAGCAGAUUGCUUCAGGUAUUUGAACUUGUUUCUUACAGCUAGCUCAGGGGUCUGUAGCCUGUACCGCAGAAGUCACCAUAGAACUUUUUUGGCACAUAAUGAAAGAACAAGAGUACAAAAGCAUAUUUAAUGGAAUAAAUAAACCAAUAAACCAGGAAAUAUAGAUCUACAUGGACACAUAUACACACAGAUAUUGCAUAAUAUAAAAUAAACGGGCUAAGCAGAAAAUCCAAAGUUAUACUACUUAUUGGUACCAGAAAUAUUGCAAUAGCAACAAAAUCUCUUACUGCAAAUCAAAAUCCACUUCCAACAAUUAAGAAACAUGAUGAAUAAUACAUGGGAAGGCAAGGGUUUUCUCCCUCAGUUACAGUUACAGGGGAGUUUUUUACCUUUAGACACCUACCUGGAACAGGCAAAUUUAUGCAACUCAGUAUCUGAUCUUAACCUAAGAUGGCAUGUCCUAUUUAAUGUUUAUAUUUUUAUGUCAACAUUCAAAAUUUAAGUACAGGCUUCCGAGUGUGAAGAAGAAACCUACCAAGCAAUAACGGGGGAGUGUUCGUUGGCUUUUUUGUUGUUGUUACCUUAAUGAUAUAUAAUGUAGCUAACUUGUACGGAAUAUAUGGCACUUCAUCUUUGGUUGUACAUUCCUCCAGCUCAGUUGCUUUGUGGUCAGCAUCAGAACAAACUCCAGAUGCUUUCAGAUGAUCUACUGUAUAACAAAAAUUACUUUAUCAACUUGAAGUAUUGAACUAGAAUGCAUAGCAACUCCAGAUGUACAUAUUGUAUUUUAAAAUUUAUAUUAGAGACAUCAAGUAUGUUUUAAAACAUAUCUUUUUUCUGAUAACAAAUAAAACAGACCUUUGGGAGAAGAAUUUUAGCAACUCUGACUUGUCAGCUUUGAUCUAUAGAAACCAUCAUACUGUUAUGUGGUCUGACAAUUACUUGUCCAUGACUACGCUGAUGCUAAUUACUUCCAUGUAUUUAUGUCAUUAAAAUUAAAAAUGAAAACAUAGCUAAAAAAAAUCAUGCAGAAAUAUGGUGCCUCUUAAGAAAGCUGGCUUUUGUCACAGCUAAGAAGAGGGCACUUCAAAGCUUCCUUCAAAACUACAUUUUACAAGUUGUUUGGUAGACCCAGUUUAUAUCAAAGUAUGAUAUAAAAUUCUAAGAUUUCUUUUUCUCUUUAAUUUUUGUUAUUAAAAACAUAUUACUUCUUUUUUUAUUUCAAUCAGAUCUCUCUGGCUUAACACACUACACAACUUCCUAUUAGAAAGUUAUUUUUUAGUAUCAUAACCCUUAAUUAAGUAUCAUAAUUAUCUAACAGGUGUAUAAGGUCAAAAGAGACUGAUCUGAUUACUUAGAAUGGUGUCUUGUAUAAAUCCAAGUGAUACAACUUCAUUCAGAAAUCCAAGCUACACAACUUGUUCAAGCAGUGCUCGCAUAGAAAAAUACAGAUAGUGCAUGCAUGAUGUGUUCCAGAAAACAAGAAUAAUAUCUGCUAUAUAAAUAUACCUUUUUCUACUCUGUUUUCACUCCAUCCAACCAGGGAAUUCAGAAAUGACCACUUGUUUAUAUUCAUUCCAAGUUUGUGCUGCCAUGGGUUUCCCUCUCCAUCUGUUAAUAAAAUUCAGGUGCAGAAAUCAGGUGCAAAUCACUGCAAUUCUCCAAAAUCUCUUGAUUCACUACUUAUUUGGAUUUAAAUGUGGUAUGCACUAAUUCUGUUCAGACCAAAGGAGUUUUGAAUAAGUAAAAGGGAUACAAAACGAAGAGAGAAUGGGGAGUCAUUGAGAGAGUUACAAGCAUAAGAAGGAUGUAAUACUUGUUUAAUACUGGAAUGGUUCCACCUGGACCUGAAAAUAGGGAUAUAUUGAAUCCAAAAGCUGUACUCAGGACUUGUUUCUCAUCUUUUGCUAAAAUUUUUUCGUAACGUAAUUUAAAAAAAUUAUAAAAACAAACUGGAUUUUGCCAAAUAUCUUUGAAAAUAAAUGUUGGUGUGUAGGGGCAGGUGUGGAUCGCAUUGUUAGAUGAGAUAUAUGUGACCCAGGUAUAUUAAUGAGCACUCUGGAUGCAUGCAACAUUCCUGGUGAGAGAAAACCAAGCCACAACAACCAACAUGAGCAACUUCUUCAAGUGUUCUGAUGUGAAAGGGAGAACAGUGCCUUAAAGAAGUCUUCUGACUCUUUGAAUUGGUUGAAACAAUUAUCAGAAAUUAAGUAUUUUUGUCCACUGAGGAAAUCUAAAUGUAUAUCUACCUUUCCUGAGAUCCUGAAGCAAUAUUCAUUUACUUCCAUGGUGCAGUGAUUUUCUACAAUGAAAUAUCUGUCUCUUCACAUUGCUUUUAUUGGACUUACUGUAACAAUAUGUACUGUGUGAAAAUAUAGUCUAUCCAGCUACUAAAUGGAAUCACCUAUUGGAUCCUAUUCCCAUACAGUGAUAAAAGUCUUGGUUUUCAAAAGGCGGUUUUGAAGAUAUAUAAAAUACAUAAUUCAAUUAAUAUGUAUUGAAACAAGUACUCUUACCUUGUUAUUAUUUCUCAAUUUAUUAUUUGCAUCACUAUACAUUACAUACAUGUAUAUAUAUAUAGCCUUUUGUUUUGUGAAUUAUGUCAGUGAAGGACAGAUGUUGAAUUAUAUAUAAUAUCUAUUUCUUAAAGGACUUUGACCUCUCACAUCUACAUCCUUUUGGUUCAUAUUUGGAUUUUGUUCCACAACCUUGGAGACUAUUUGAAGCCACAGUUAUUCUUGCAAAAGCCAUUCACUUUGCAUAAAGCCUACUUUUGGUAAAAUUGGCUACUAGAGCAUCAGUGCUUGCAGGCCAGGAGUGUAGGGUCUAUCUUUUCCUCUAGGAUAAAGAUUAGUCUUAAGCCCUUAGUGGAACACAGACAUACAGAUGUUUCCUACUGUCAUGGUUUUAGCUGAGAUAGAGUUAAAUUUCUUCACUGCAGCUGGCACAGCGCUGUGCUUUGGACUUCGUAUGAAAACAAUGUUGAGAUAACACACAGACGUUUUGGGCUGUUGCUGGGCAGUGCUUGUACUAGUCAAGGACUUUUCCAGCUUCCCAUGCUCUUCCAGGUGCACAAGAAGCUGGGAGGAGAGGGGGCACAGCUAACAGAGUGGAUUCAAACUGGCCAAAGGGAUAUUCCAUAUCAUGUAAUGUCACAGCCAGUAUGUUAACUGGGAGGAGCUGGCCGGGGGAGGCAGGCAGCAAUCAGCAGCAUUGGUCGGCGGGUGGUGAGCGGUUGUAUUUU